UGAUGUUGACAUCACGUGAUCUACCCUGU
rnacentral:piRNA from 1 species